AGAGUUUGAUCCUGGCUCAGGACGAACGCUGGCGGCGUGCUUAAUACAUGCAAGUCGAGCGCUAAUGUUCCUUCGGGAACGUUGGAGCGGCGGACGGGUGAGUAACGCGUGGGCAAUCUGCCCUCUAGCCUGGGAUAACAGUUCGAAAGGACUGCUAACACCGGAUAUGCUCAUAGCCUGGCAUCAGGCAGUGAGGAAAG
rnacentral:rRNA from 1 species